rnacentral:rRNA from 1 species
CAAUAGCGUAUAUUAAAGUUGUUGCGGUUAAAAAGCUCGUAGUUGGAUCUCGGCGGACACGGUGCGGUUCCGUUCGUGCGGUAACUGCGUCUCAUUGUCCGUGAAUGUUUCGGGGCGUGGCGUAGGUGCUCUUGACCGAGUGUCUGCGCUAUCCCCGAGGUUUACUUUGAAAAAAUUAGAGUGCUCCAAGCAGGCUUUGAAUGGCCUGAAUACUUGUGCAUGGAAUAAUGGAAUAGGACGUCGUUUCUAUUUUGUUGGUUUUCGGAAAUCGACGUAAUGAUUAAUAGGGACAGUCGGGGGCAUUAGUAUUCAGACGACAGAGGUGAAAUUCUUGGACCGUCUGAAGACUGCCUACUGCGAAAGCAUUUGCCAAGAAUGUUUUCAUUAAUCAAGAACGAAAGUUAGAGGUU